rnacentral:tRNA from 1 species
GCGGGCGUAGUUCAAUGGUAGAAUUCCAGCCCUCCAAGCUGAUUAUGGGGGUUCGAUUCCCCUCGCCCGCUCCA